UAUAUACAUUCGGCCGUAUAUAUAUAUAUACAUUUUGCGUGAAAUACUAAAUCGGGUUGUAGAGUGAUUGAUCGAACGAUCUAAUAAGGGGCUUUUGUUCGCAAGGUGAUGGAUAACUGAUAUGGAAAAUUUCGUGCCAAUCGGAGUUCGAAUCGAGGGUUAAUUUGAUUCGCCGGAGUUCGGUGGCGGGAUAGCUUCGACCGACUGUUUUUGGCCAAAUCGAAAGGCUUCCGGUGGUCUUUUCUGAGCAAGAUUGGUACCAUUGGGAUCGACUAAGGGAGAGGAACAUCCUUGUGUCGUCGCUUCAAUUUUCCGGUGUACCGUCGCCGGAGAAGAUGACCGGAGGGUGCCUUGAGGCUUGAGAAGAAGUGACUCGUGCGAAGUUCGAAGAAGGCACGCAAAUCGAGGCAGGCACGCAAAUCAAGGCGUACCGCGCUUGUCAAGAAGAAUUUGAAAUUUCGCCAAAGGUGAAAGCAGUGGCGCCAAGGGAAAGAAUAUCAUCGAGAUGUAGCAGCUAUGUUUAGUUUUCGUAGGUUUUGUCCAUGAUUACGAUGUUCAGAGGUUAUGUAAUAUUUUGAUAUUUUCAUGUGAAACAUCGAUUUGGUUAUUGUAAAGGAAUU